rnacentral:rRNA from 1 species
UACGUAGGUGGCAAGCGUUAUCCGGAUUUACUGGGUGUAAAGGGCGUGUAGGCGGGGACGCAAGUCAGAUGUGAAAACCACGGGCUCAACCUGUGGCCUGCAUUUGAAACUGUGUUUCUUGAGUACUGGAGAGGCAGACGGAAUUCCUAGUGUAGCGGUGAAAUGCGUAGAUAUUAGGAGGAACACCAGUGGCGAAGGCGGUUUGCUGGACAGCAACUGACGCUGAGGCGCGAAAGCGUGGGGAGCAAACAGG